rfam:Populus trichocarpa isolate Nisqually-1 chromosome 13, whole genome shotgun sequence.
UAAUCUGUCUAGAGUAUAUCCUCAUCUAGCUAUGACAGACCAACAUCUAACUACUUAGAAUCACUCAUGACAAUUGUUGUGUGAACAAUAUCUGUUUUUCAA